GACGAACGCUGGCGGCGUGCUUAACACAUGCAAGUCGAACGGAAAGGCCCUGCUUUUGUGGGGUGCUCGAGUGGCGAACGGGUGAGUAACACGUGAGUAACCUGCCCUUGACUUUGGGAUAACUUCAGGAAACUGGGGCUAAUACCGGAUAGGAGCUCCUGCUGCAUGGUGGGGGUUGGAAAGUUUCGGCGGUUGGGGAUGGACUCGCGGCUUAUCAGCUUGUUGGUGGGGUAGUGGCUUACCAAGGCUUUGACGGGUAGCCGGCCUGAGAGGGUGACCGGCCACAUUGGGACUGAGAUACGGCCCAGACUCCUACGGGAGGCAGCAGUGGGGAAUAUUGCACAAUGGGCGGAAGCAGGAUGCAGCAACGCCGCGUGCGGGAAGACGGCCUUCGGGUUGUAAACCGCUUUCGCCUGUGACGAAGCGUGAGUGACGGUAAUGGGUAAAGAAGCACCGGCUAACUACGU
rnacentral:rRNA from 1 species